AAAAAUUUUACCUUAGUGCUGUUUCUUAUCCAACACUCUCGUCAUGUGCUGGUUAGGUGCAAUACUGAACUGAACAUUCUUACACAAACAAUUAAUCUCUUGUGCUGACGUACAUCAAGUCUAAACAUUUGAUGUUCCAUUUGACUGACUAAUAAUUUAUGAUAUAUGUUUGUCUUUUACACCCGGACUCUGGCUCCUUCCUAUCUGACUCCCCACCAGACCCAAGGCUGUUAAAGCGAAUGCAUCUUGUCUUGGAAGCUCGGUGUUCCUUCCUUUUGGAUAACAAGACAUGACGAUGCAGAAGUGAGAAAGCAAACAUUCUCACUCACAGCGAGAUAAGGUGGUGCAAACAAUUCCAUUGCUGCAGAGAGACAUUCCACAAAGCGCCAGAGAAAGGGGUUAAAAGGCAGAAGCAACUUGAGGAUCGCGGGCUCUUUGCAUCACACCUUCGUGGUGUGUGCACUGAUCUCCCCAGCUGGUUUUUGGUUUGUUGAUGUGCACGAUCAACAUCCAUGCUUUUUAUUUGCUUUCCCCAUUAUUUUUAUUUUCUUUAUUAUUUCAAUAAAUCGCACAAAAGGACAACUCUCUCUCAUCUGCUUCUUUAUGGAAAAUUUCCACCACAGAAAUUGGCGUCUACGAACAGGAUCCGCUGCAGGUCGUCUGGACGGUGUGACCAGGGACGAUAGUCCUGAGGACUAGGGUCGCUCAGCCUCCAAACCUCUACAGACAUUCAGAGCUGGGAGGACUGCUCACCCGUCUGGAUCGCCUCUGACGAGAUCCACGAACUCAGAUUCAAACUCAAAUCCUAAUUUGGCUCGGCUCGGUGAGAGAGAUUCCUUUUAAUUUGGGAAAAAACAAAAAGAAAAUAUAACUAGGACUAGAGAUAAUAAUAUUUCUAAAACGACUAUGUGGCUGAAAACAUCUAAAAUAUAAUAAUUAGGACCAAACAAUUUUUUUUUUUAAUUAAAAAAUUUAAUAUUCAGGUAAAAUGAAUUAGGUCAAAGUCUGCCCUGGUGGUCGAGACGGUGGUUGCUAAGGGUUGGCUCGUGGGACCGAGCUUGUUUUGUCUGUACUGAGGAUACAGACCAGUGUGCAGAUCUGAGCGCAGUCCAAAGGGAGUGGACAAGAAAUAAAAGACGGCUUCUGAAAUACGGAGCGCGUUUGCAGGGGGAAGUGGUUUUGAGAUACGAGGGACCCGGGUCUUAGAGGGGCCUGACGGUGAGGGACCACUUCCGAGAACCCUGUCGCUGAUCUGAGCGGUUCCCUUUCUACGGAGACGUCCGUGGAAGAGAAAUUUCGAAAAAAGGUUCCGGCCUGAACACAUAAAAAUCUAAGGCAGGAAACCGCUGGGACUCUGAAAGAUGGGUUCGGGGCGAUCUAAGUCUCCACCACCAGACUGCAGCAUUACAAAAGUAAAAAACUGAGCGCGAUGAGGGUAAAUCCGGAUCUGGACUCCUUUCCCACCAUCAGCAGAAGAACCGAAGGAGAAGAAGCGCCAACCAACAACCAGAACAGGGUGGAAGCUCUGACACCACAGCAGCUGGAGGACACAGACCACAGCAUGGACGCCUCAACGACUCCCACAACGUCUGCAGCCAUCACGUUCUGGGCUCAUCAGAUGAACCAGCUACUACAAGCGUGUGUGUCUGACACAGACACCUGCUUAUGACAAUCAGCAAAGGAAAACAAGGACAGAGCAACAGCAGAGAAGACGUGCUCUGACACAGACACUGGUUGAAACAACAGGAGAGGCUUCAGACGUGAUCGGCCCAAUAGAGCUGCAUCUGAGGAUCCAGGAAAGGUCUGUCAUCGAGGAACAACUGUCCCAUUGAAAGGCUUCACCCGCUGGCGCUCACAUCAGACUGAUGGUUGGGGAAGGAGGAAGGUGACGGUUCCUUUUCACGUGACGUACAAGACGGUACCGCAAACACACACACACAUUCAUACACGCAAUGAAGAAACACGCUUACAGCUGAUACACGCUCAAAUUCAUGUUCAUGCUUAUCUGCUCGCAAUGAAGAAUCGCUUUUUGCUUAAAAAAAUCCCACAGAGUGAUUUUAAAAUGAUGACAAACAGCUAAAUGACAAUUGCUGCAUGACUUUACAGUCUGAUGGGUUCAAACUAUUUUAACUUGCAACAAAUUCAGUAAUAAAAUCCUCUAUGUUUCUAAAAGGGUUUGUGCACAAUAUAGGUUUGUCUGGCCAGACUAGAAGACUAUAGGAAACAAAACAGACUAUAGAGAAAACAAAACAGACGGUAGAAAAAGAAACAAAAAACAGACUAUAGGAAGACUGAGACUGACUGAAACAGACUAUUAAUGACUAUUAAAGGGAAGACGACUAUUAGAGAGAAGUAAUAAUAAUUACUGUACGUACCAGACUAUUAAAGAAAAACUAAUUCUUUCACUGUCUUGUGCAACAUCUGACAGCAAGACACCUUAACAUUCAUUUUUGCUUUCAAAUUUAUGCCCAGUUAAAUUUUUAGGAAGAGAUCUCGUGUAGUUUAGAUAAUUGAUUGAUUUCCACUCCAGACGGAGUGCAGGUUACAUCUACAGACAUUCUAAAUAAUCCCUCUUUUGUUGGUGUUAACUUCAGCUCAGCUGUGCUCCUAUCAUUGGCUGCUGAGGGGGGGCUGUAACUGAGGCCCUCACACAGGCUGCAUCACAGCUUGUUUAUGAUUUCACACACACACACAAACUGACCUCAACUUUCCUCUUUUGGGAUGAACACAGGUCUGCGCUUGCGAUUUCUCUUACUAACGAACAAAAAGAUUUUUGAUGUUUAUUCUACAGUUCCACACGUCCCUCUGUGAAAACAUGAUGGAGACAGAUGCAGGACGUGGGUCCUUUCGUGAACAGAUGUCAACGGGGUGGAGACUGGUGAACGACUUCCGACCCCGUGUGAUGUAUUCAACUACUUUGCAUACUUUUAGAAAACUUUUUUUUAUUCUGCCUGUCAUGUGCAGCAAACAGUGAACUGGGAACCUCCACAUUCUAAUGACACACUACAUGUUUUUAUUUUCAUUUCAGAGGACGCUCUGACCCAACACUCAGCCUUACAGGAAGCCCUGCUUCCCUGUGGCUCACACACAGACAUGAUGUAGGUUCGAUCAGAGGAUGUGAACCAGUGGUCAUCACACCUAAAUCUGACCACAGACCAUGUAAACAACAACACCCUCUUAAAGGAGCCAUAGAUGGUGUUACUGCAGACACCACUAAGCUACUGAAACAUUGGAUGCUACAGGCCACAAAGAGAGCCUGUUUAAAUUACGCUUUGUUCAGACAAAGGUUAUUUUUCUGGGUCAUUGUAAUUACAGCUGAUGGCAAAUCCAUCUCACCCAACUGAGUUAAAGCAAUUUGAAACCUGCCUAAACCGUGCACGUAAAAACAGCUGAUGUUUUUUCUAGGUCUUUGUUCUUAUUGUAGGACCUUCAGUCCUAACUUUACCUUCUCUGAGGUCCCACUCAGGGUUCUGAUGCAGACGUCUUCAUCGUCCACUUCUUGUCUCACGUGGACGUCUGAGGCUGAACAACGUUCACUGACCUCAUGCUUGCUCUUCAGUCGGCUCCUACUUUGGGUCUUCCUGAUCUGACCCUACGCGACCUUUCACUCAAACAGUGGAUGAGAGAUCAGGUUGUACGACUUCUGUUCUUUGUCCUCAUACUGUGUCUUUGAUUCUUUUGGAAAACAUCACAUCUUUCUACAGCCCGAUGGCUUAGAUGCAACACCACCUUGCUCAACAUGCUGAACGUUACUAUCAAGAGGCCGUCUUGAAGUCUGGCUCUUUGCUAAGACACUACUCUGCUCAGGCUGCAGAGUUGAUCACAUUGACUGAAGCUAGUAAACGAGCAGAAGGAGAGUCUGUUACCAUCUACAUGGACUCCACAGACGCUCUGUGGAAGCAUAGGAAGCUUUUUUGAAGUCUAAUUGCAAACCUAUCUCACAUCAUGAUUAGGUUCUGCUUUGCUGGACGCUGUCCUGCCACCUACAGCUAAUGCUGUUUUUACAUCAUCAGUGACGACUUUGUUUCUGCCGACAUGCAGCUGCAGACGCUGCUGCGAAGGACGACAACCCCUCCCUCUCCUGAUCCUCGUUUCCUCUCCUCAUCCUUGUUCCCUCUCUCCAACUCUCUCUAUCCUUUCCUUCCUUUCUUCCUCUCUCCCUGUGCUUUAAACAUUUUCUACCUCGCAGGAACGCAGACUCUGGCUGACAAAUGGUUCCACCUGUAGCCUUGGAGUCUGGUUUGGGCCUGAUGACACGCCGUGCCGCCCAAACACCUUUUCCCCAUAAUUCAGAUUUCCCAACAGGUGAAAGCAGGCGACAGGACCAUUACACCAUCCAACCAGGAGACUGGGUGAUCGUUAAGGAGUUCAGGAGGAAGCACUGGGACUCCAAACGGUGGCGAGGCCACUUCCAGGUCCUUCUGACGACCCACACGGCUGUAAAGAUCGCAGAGAGAGCGACUUGGAUCCACUCCACUGCAAGAAGGUCCCGGAUCCAACAGACGACCCUCCAUCUACAUCUACACCACACAAGAAAACCACCACUGACGAAAAGAAUUGAGAAGAACGACCCUCGCUGUGCUCACACACGCACUGAGGCGAGGCUGCGUUGACCGUUCAGCUAAAGGUGUGAGCCAAGCGCCGCCUAAAGCUGCGCCGGUGAAUCACACUAUCAGACCAUACAUCUACACACACGCUCCUGAGAAAACACACACACGAGCAGCCUUGAGUUGCCGACGCUGGACGACGUGUAGACUCUUCACAUCACGGGAGUGACAGUGACUCAGACGACAUUGGGAGGAAACCUGGCGGUGAUAACGAAUCCCAAGUGUCUCUGUGAUCAGCUGAUCACAACCUGAAGAACCCCAACGAACAAUCAAUACAACACACAGGUUGGAAACAAUCUAACGCUACUGUUCAACAGGACGAAGCAGAUUGUUACAAGACAUCAAUUGUAACCUCGUUGCGUUAGACAUUUUAUGUUACUCUGAUUAUUGCCUUGAUCAUAUGAUGUUUUCAUAUAACUUUGCACACUACUUUUGAAUGAGAAAAUUUCACAUAAUUCACAACACUGAGUUUAAAUAUCCUAAAGUUGACUUGGUGUUUAAUUUGCUCACAAUCACUUUAUUCACUGCUACAAUUAGUUUUAUCCUUCAUCUACAGAUGAAAGACAACACAAGCGGAAAAACGCAUCAUCAUUCUGGUUAAAUCCCUGAAUCUCGUAUUCGCUCUAGGCCCAAAUGUACAAUUAAAGAUCCGAAAGCAUGAAAUCUAUCUGAAGAUUAUAUGAUACCGAACCCCACCGGAAACCUAUGGCUAUCAUACAUUAAUUGUCUUUAUUACAUUACAAUUGAAUGGCCGUAGACACGUUGUUAGCAGAGGAAAGAGACGUUUGUGUUAUGUUUGGAGAGGCAUGUUGUACUUACAUCCUGAAUAACACUGAUUCUAAUGGUAUUGUGGCGAAGGCGCUACACGGCCUUCAGAAUCUCAGCUAACUCUGGUAUAGGUUCUUUCCCUUGGAAUUGGCUAGACGAAAUGUCUGGAAAAUGGAAAUCUGUCCUCAUGUCCACAGCUGUUUCCUUUAUCAUUGAGAUGGCUGUGAUUCUCUUGUUUGGUUUUUGCGUUAUCCCACUGGUUAAAGGUCUCAUCAUGCGUGCGACCUCAGCAACACUCUCGUAUCAAAUGACACAAUGAACUAUGUUCAAAAACCCCAACUCUAAUUCACGUAAUGACUUUGACGAUGGCUAUCUGAUCACAAAAUAUAAUCUGGUACAAAUAUGAUUAUGGACUUAUUUUCUUCACAUGCUCAUACAGAGGUUAUUCUUGUUUAACUACCCACCAAAACAGUUCCCAACCUUUUAUCCCUAAGUUACUUGCAUUUUAUGUGAAGGUGUAUUUUUGAAUUUUGACUUAAUACACUCACUGUUUCAUUUGUAAGGGUUGUUACUACAAAAUGCAAUGUUUGAAAAAUUUUAUUAUUUUAGUGUUUGAUUAAUGUGUAAUCAAAAGGGGGGAAUGUAAUGGAAAAAUUUUACCUUAGUGCUGUUUCUUAUCCAACACUCUCGUCAUGUGCUGGUUAGGUGCAAUACUGAACUGAACAUUCUUACACAAACAAUUAAUCUCUUGUGCUGACGUACAUCAAGUCUAAACAUUUGAUGUUCCAUUUGACUGACUAAUAAUUUAUGAUAUAUGUUUGUCUUUUACACCCGGACUCUGGCUCCUUCCUAUCUGACUCUCCACCAGACCCAAGGCUGUUAAAGCGAAUGCAUCUUGUCUUGGAAGCUCGGUGUUCCUUCCUUUGGAUAACAAGACAUGACGAUGCAGAAGUGAGAAAGCAAACAUUCUCACUCACAGCGAGAUAAGGUGGUGCAAACAAUUCCAUUGCUGCAGAGAGACAUUCCACCAGAGCCACAGAAAGGGGUUAAAAGGCAGAAGCAACGCGAGGAUCGUGGGCUCUUUGCAUCACACCUUCGUGGUGUGUGCACUGAUCUCCCCAGCUGGUUUUUGGUUUGUUGAUGUGCACGAUCAACAUCCAUGCUUUUUAUUUGCUUUCCCCAUUAUUUUUAUUUUCUUUAUUAUUUCAAUAAAUCGCACAAAAGGACAA